AGCGAACGCUGGCGGCAGGCCUAACACAUGCAAGUCGAACGAACUCUUCGGAGUUAGUGGCGGACGGGUGAGUAACACGUGGGAACGUGCCUUUAGGUUCGGAAUAACUCAGGGAAACUUGUGCUAAUACCGAAUGUGCCCUUCGGGGGAAAGAUUUAUCGCCCUUAGAGCGGCCCGCGUCUGAUUAGCUAGUUGGUGAGGUAAAGGCUCACCAAGGCGACGAUCAGUAGCUGGUCUGAGAGGAUGAUCAGCCACAUUGGGACUGAGACACGGCCCAAACUCCUACGGGAGGCAGCAGUGGGGAAUCUUGCGCAAUGGGCGAAAGCCUGACGCAGCCAUGCCGCGUGAAUGAUGAAGGUCUUAGGAUUGUAAAAUUCUUUCACCGGGGACGAUAAUGACGGUACCCGGAGAAGAAGCCCCGGCUAACUUCGUG
rnacentral:rRNA from 1 species